rnacentral:lncRNA from 1 species
CUAUCAGGCAAGGAGCAACCACUGCUUAUCUCUUUGCUUACUGUACCUAGAGGUGGUGCUCCAGGGUACAUUCACAUCUCGCAGGCAGAGAGCAACCCAACCCCAUGAUGGCUCCUUCAGAUUAAUACAGGAGAAUACUUCUUUACAACUGAUGUAAAUCUUUAGCAAGUUCACCCUAACUUUGCACUGAAGCCCUACAGCAAAGAUUUUUUAAAUGUUUUGUAAAGUUGCUUGAAGGAAAAUAACACGAUUUAAUGUGUAUCUCCAAACAAGGCAAGUUUUGAACUUUUCUUCCUGGUUUUGAGACACUUGAAAGAGAGCAUCUCCCAGUGGCAAAGAUAAGAGCCCACGUCCUUCCUGCAUCCUGUGGCUGUGCAUUCUCAGCCACAAGAGUCAGCAAGUCCCCUUCCAGAGGGAAGCGAUUUGGACAAUAACAUCUCAGACUGAUGCUGCUAAUCUGGCCUUACCCAAGGUAAUUAUUUGAAAUGACAUUCAAACCAGAGUGGUUUUUCUAGACAUUGAGAUUACUACAUUAUGAGGAAAGUACACAAACUGCUUUCCUCCCCACAUAUCUCUAGUGCAGUCUGAAAAUAGCCCCAAGCAUUUCCAAAUGUGCCUUAAUCUUUUGACAGGGAAGUGGGUGAGGUCAGAAGACGGGGAAGGACUUGACUGCUGUCACGAGGAUGGUGAAAUUGAUGCAUCAAAUAGAGCUGAAUGCUGCUGUAAAGGAAGAAAGUGUCCAUUUCAUAUCCCAUACGUCCAUCAAAGCCAACGGAGACGCAGAGCACGACAGGCGCGUUCUGUGCUUCAGACUCUGGCUAUUGGCAGGAGAAUGAAUCUUGUGUCUGACAUAAGAGGACAUCAGGAAGCGGGGAAACGAACCCGAAGCUCUUGGAUGGGAUCCACGCAGCUGUCAGUCAGAGGGAGAUAA